rnacentral:sRNA from 1 species
AAAAGCCAGUUCCUCUGUUUCAAAAAAAAGAAAGCCAGUUCCUCUGUUUCAAAAAAAAAGAAAGCCCGUUCCUCUGUUUCAGCUGAGAGAACACCGCAGCCUGAUAAAGAACAAUUGUGUGCUGAUAAUUGUUUGCUCUCUCGCCUUCUACUUGACCGAUGCGAUGACCCAUCAAGUGACCAGCGAUAAGACUGACAUCUAAUCUUGACUCGACCAGUGAGUGGUAGAAGUACGACUAACCUGAUCAGUGGCCAGAUUAGUGUCAAUACAUGUCCUUAGAAUCUGCCAUUUGACUAGAGCUUCAAUACCAAAGUGAGAACGGGCGGCCAGGAAGGUGUGUCUGCUGAACCAUCUCAUGCUUUAACCACCUUCACAUUUCAUCCCAACCAGAGCAACAAUACGUCAUAGGUCACGUGGGGUUUUCCCUUUUCAUUUUAACAGACUCCCCAACCCGGGCCACAACAUACACACUUAAAAAUAAUUUAUCAUGUUUAAACAUUUUGCUCAAAGUUAUAUUUUAACAAACAAACACACAUCGUUCAGCGAAGACAUGUCAACUGAUAACAACUGUCUUGCAUGCAUUGUUCUUUGACACUGCCACCCUGCAUGUCAACACUGAAAACUUACUAAAACGACCAACAGAUGUGUCAAGUCUCGUAACGGAGAUAGCUCCUAAUCCAGCUUGUCAAUUUGUUCUAGAUAAGAUACAAGGGUGUCGGGGGGACUCGGAAUUAGUUUUAUGGUUGUUCAAAUGUGUGGACAAUGCCUUCAACUACCUUGUUGACGUGACUUCCUUUAAAUAAUGUAGAGUCUAUUUAUUGUCACGACGUUAUCACGCUCUAAAACAUAAGUGACAUUAUCACAAAGAGUGACAUUGUCACAGAAUAUAUUUUCACAUGACAAUCGUUUAGGUUGGUUUCAUGUUCGUUAGAACUUGAGACAUUAUUAGACCUUUGGUAUCAACAAGAAAUUUGUUGCUUAGGUAACCAAAAAAAAAAAAGGAAAUAAAACUGAACCAUGUUUUGUACUAGCCUUGAGAAUUGGAACUUGUUCUAGUCCCCUGACUCUGUGUGUGUGUGUGUGUGUGACAGUGUGUAAUAUUAAGAAAGACAGAACUCAGACAGUCAGUCAGUCAGUUAUUCAGAGACAAACGAAAAAUCAAACAUUCAGACAAAUGGCUAGAAAGACAUAUAAAUUGUUAGAUAGAGACAGAAAGAAAGAGAUACAAAAGAGAGAGACAGAGACAGAAAGAGAGAGAGAAAGAGAGAGAGAAUAAAUGCCAUGUAACUACUAUUACACCCAGAAAGAUUGUCGCACUAAAUUGACAUGUAUCUGACAUUCAAUGGUGACAUGAGUUUGAUCAAAAAAGACAUGCCAAGGAACCCAAUCUCCCCAGAAACCGCAGUUCACUUCCCCAGAAACCGCAGUUCACUUCCCCAGAAACCGCAGUUCACUUCCCCAGAAACCGCAGUUCACUGAAAGUGUACAUUUCACUGUUCAGAUAAAAUAUUCAUAGCCAUAAAACAAACUUUUUUUUUAUAUAGAUUUCUGUUGCGUUGUUGUUAUCUCGACAUGCAGUCAAUUAAUUUAAUCUCCCUAUAAGUUUGGAUUUCUUUUUGUUUCAACGCCUCCAAAGCUCAUGGGUUCAGGUGAAACAAAGGGCAAAGCUCAUGGGUUCAGGUGAAACAAAGGGCAAAGCUCAUGGGUUCAGGUGAAACAAAGGGCAAAGUUGUCGACGUUUUAAAAAAAACAACCUCAAAUGGUCAAGAAUUCAUUCCGGUUUUUCUAUUUAACCACUUAUUAAUUAAACAAAACUAUUUAACU